GACUUAUCUCAGACUUCCAUGGAGGCCACUCAUUUCAGUUGAUGGAAGCACGAUAUAUGAUUUAGAUGACAAAUUCAAAAUUGUUAGGCAUGCUGAGAGUUGGGACAUUUCUGCCCUUGAAGCAAUUGGCCAGAUUUUUACACCUAGUUUUGGAAGGCCUAGUGAAUAAUAUAUGUUCCCUUCUCACAGAAUUUUGAAGAAAGUUCAUACUAUAAUGUUACCAAUUUCAAGCAGUUACCGCUGAUUUGAUUGUUGAGGUUGGAAGCUGGUGCUUAAGCUGUCUAUAAGGAAUACAGAAUUGUUAUACUAGUCACCCAUUCCCAGACUUGUAAGACUAACAUUUGAGUUGUGACAAGGUGAUUCUUGAUGUCAUAUAACUUAGUUGUUGCAUGCUCAAACCCACUGUUAAGAGUGAUUCUACUUAAUAUAGAUCAAGAAAAAUUAGGAAGUGUCUCACUUCUAAAUAUGGCUUGAAAAAUGACUGGACAGAUUUGUUCUCUCUCUCUCUCUCUCUCUCUCUCUCUCUCUCUUAUGAGAUUCAAUAUUUAAUUAAGUUACUAUAA